rnacentral:rRNA from 1 species
UACGUAGGGGGCAAGCGUUGUCCGGAUUUACUGGGCGUAAAGAGCGUGUAGGCGGCCAAGCAGGUCCGUUGUGAAAACUGGAGGCUUAACCUCCAGACGUCGACGGAAACCGCGCGGCUAGGAGUCCGGAAGAGGAGAGUGGGAAUUCCUGGUGUAGCGGUGAAAUGCGCAGAUAUCAGGAAGAACACCAAUGGCGAAGGCAGCUCUCUGGGACGGUACUGACGCUGAGACGCGAAAGCGUGGGGAGCGAACAGG